rnacentral:tRNA from 1 species
GCGGAUGUGGCGGAAUUGGUAGACGCACCAGAUUUAGGUUCUGGCGCCUUCGGGCGUGGAGGUUCAAGUCCUCUCAUCCGCACCA